GUUUAGAAUAAUGUUUGAGGAAGAAAGUGCUGCCUUGUGGCACUAUAAUUAUAGCUUUGCCUCACUAAUUCCUGAACCAAAAUAAAUCUUACAAAGCACAAAUUAACAGAAUCUGCAGUCCAUGGAUGAACAUUCUCAAUGACAAAAAGAGGGUGCCUGAGGAAUAAUAUUAUUACUGGUUCUGUUCUAGAGUGGAGCUUAAACCUGCUGUGAAAUCACAUUUAUGGUCAGCUGGUGCCAGGGGAAGAGUGUGUCUUUGGUCAGAGUGUAGAAGAUUUUUAUUAAUAAGAUUUUCUAUUAAUCAAGUAUAAUCAAGGUGAAUUUAGCCACAUAUGUCUAUAGUUAUUAUUCCAUUAUAAUCCUAUGGUUGUAGUAUAGGAAAAAAGAUGCCUACGUGACCAGAAUGUCCAGACCCAGAUGAGAUCUGGGGAGACCAACAAAAGGGCCUUUCUCCUUACCAGACCAAAUAGGAGGCCCCUUCUCUCUGGGGAUCGAAUUGUAAGCCUAAGGAAAAUUAUGGAAUUUUGGGAACGCCCUGUAUAUGGUAUAUAAGGAGAUACCACAUAACAUUCAGGAGAUCUUCUCGCAGAGAACAUCUCGGCUUUGUUUCUCUCUGAAAUAAAGUCUAUCUUCUGGAAACAAAACCCCAAGACUGAGUGUGAUCCCUCAGAUCCAUGGCAGCAGACACGACACUACAAGAGCCUGAAAUGCCAACUCCUGUUAACAUCCAAAGUGCUACUUUCAGAGAAAGUCAGAUGGCGUGCAAAUGUGGUGGACCUCAAGCUGUGUCGCUAUGAGCAUUGCUGGAGGGCAGCAGCAAUAUGGAAGACUGAAUUAAAGACAAAGUGAGAAAGAGAGAGAGGUUGACAAGGUCUCUGUGUAUUUCCUGCAUUCUAAUCCACAAGUUCACCUGUUGUCUUCCUAUCUAAGUCUGUAUAAGCACCGGUCCUUCUUUAGCCAAGACAUAUGGAAUUAAACAAAGAAUACAAACGUGUUCAAACAUCCUGUUGAUGUGAACAAAUAUUUCAGUCCCUCAGAGACUCUGAGAUGUGGAUUGUCAUGGGCAGGAUUUUAAAUCUUCCUAUAAGCUGAAAAUCUGCAGCAAGCACCUGUCCAGAUGGAUGUGCUUAUAAUAAUU
ensembl:lncRNA